GGUGACUAGGGGCCAGCAGACGGGGUAAUACGGAGGGUGCAAGCGUUAUCCGGAAUCACGGGGCGUAAAGCGUGCGGAGGUGGGAAUUUAAGGGAGAUGUUAAAUCGUGUGGCUCAACCAUAUCGUUGCAUCUCAUACUGGGUUCCUAGAGGACGGCAGAGGCAAGUGGAACUAGCAGUGUAGCAGUGAAAUGCGUAGAUAUUGCUAAGAACACCAAUGGCGAAGGCAGCUUGCUGGGCCGACCCUGACACUGAGGUACGAAAGCGUGGGGAGCGAACAGGAUUAGAUACCCUGGUAGUC
rnacentral:rRNA from 1 species